AACGAACGCUGGCGGCAGGCUUAACACAUGCAAGUCGAACGCACCGCAAGGUGAGUGGCAGACGGGUGAGUAACACGUGGGGAUCUGCCCAAUGGUACGGAAUAGCUCCGGGAAACUGGAAUUAAUACCGUAUGAGCCCGCAAGGGGAGAGAUUUAUCGCCAUUGGAUGAACCCGCGUCGGAUUAGCUAGUUGGGGUGGUAAAGGCGCACCAAGGCGACGAUCCGUAGCUGGUCUGAGAGGAUGAUCAGCCACACUGGGACUGAGACACGGCCCAGACUCCUACGGGAGGCGGCAGUGGGGAAUAUUGGACAAUGGGCGCAAGCCUGAUCCAGCCAUGCCGCGUGAGUGAUGAAGGCCUUAGGGUUGUAAAGCUCUUUCGCCGACGAAGAUAAUGACGGUAGUCGGAGAAGAAGCCCCGGCUAACUUCGUGCCAGCCGCCGCAGUAAAAC
rnacentral:rRNA from 1 species